rnacentral:rRNA from 1 species
AACGCAGCGAAGGGCGAUACGUAAUGUGAAUUGCAGAAUUCAGUGAAUCAUCGAAUCUUUGAACGCACCUUGCGCCCCUUGGCAUUCCGAGGGGCACACCCGUUUGAGUGUCGUGAAAUCCUCAAAACCCUUUUCUGCGUUUAGCGAAAAAGGACUUUUGGACUUGGAGGUUCAAUGCUCGCUUUUGCUUUUUGAAAGCGAGCUCCUCUCAAAUGGAUUAGUGGGGGUCCGCUUUGCUGGUCCUUGACGUGAUAAGAUGUUUCUACGUUUUUGGAUUUAGCACUGUCCCUUGGAUGCCUGCUCUCUAACCGUCUCACGGACAAUGAUGGUGCUCUGGUCACCGCCAUCUACAUUGGCGGGAGGCUGGACCCACAAAAAGAAAACCUUGACCUCAAAUCGGGUGAGACUACCCGCUGAACUUAA